rnacentral:RNase_P_RNA from 1 species
CGGGCAGGUCGAACGGUCGCCGGCUCAAUGCCAGUGCAUUGGGCGGGAGGAAAGUCCGAACUCCACAGGGCAGUGUGCCCCGUAACUCGGGGGGCUCAUGGAGUUUCUCCAUGGGUACGGAAAGUGCAACAGAAAAGACACCGCCCCGCAAGGGGUAAGGGUGAAAUGGUGCGGUAAGAGCGCACCGGGUGUCCGGCAACGGGCAUGCCUGGCAAACCCCACAUGGAGCAAGUUCAAAUAGGGAUGGAGGCGUGACCCGCGCCGCUUGACAUCCGGGUAGAAUGCUGGAUCCGGGAGGCAACUCCCGGGCUAGAGGAAUGACCGUUGCCCUCUACGAGGGAACAGAAUUCGGCUUACAGACCUGCCCAUCAC